ACAUGCAAGUCGAGUGCGCGGCUGUAGCAAUACAGCUGGCGCACGGCGCACGGGUGCGUAACACGUGGGUACCUGCCCUUUGAUGGGGAAUAACCCCGCGAAAGCGGGGCUAAUACCGCAUAAGAUCCGCAAGGAUGAAAGCCGAAAGGCGUCGAAGGAGGGGCCUGCGCACGAUUAGCUAGUUGGUAGGGUAAUGGCCUACCAAGGCAAUGAUCGUUAGCUGGUCUGAGAGGAUGGCCAGCCACACUGGAACUGAGACACGGUCCAGACUCCUACGGGAGGCAGCAGUGGGGAAUCUUGCACAAUGGGCGAAAGCCUGAUGCAGCGACGCCGCGUGGGGGAUGAAGCUUCUCGGAGUGUAAACCCCUUUCGACCCGGACGAAUGCCCCGCAAGGGGACUGACGGUACGGGUAUAAGAAGCCCCGGCUAACUACGUGCCAGCAGCCGCGGUAAGACGUAGGGGGCCAGCGUUGUUCGGAAUUACUGGGUGUAAAGGGUUCGUACGCGGUGUGGCAAGUCGGGAGUGAAAUCUCUGGGCUCAACCCAAAGUCUGCUUCCGAAACUGCUGUGCUUGA
rnacentral:rRNA from 1 species